GGCCUCAUAGCUCAGUUGGUUAGUAGCAUCUGACUCAUAAUCAGAGGGUCACAGGUUCAAGCCCUGUUGAGGCCA
rnacentral:tRNA from 2 species